rnacentral:rRNA from 1 species
UACGUAGGGGGCAAGCGUUGUCCGGAUUUAUUGGGCGUAAAGAGCGUGUAGGCGGCUAGGUAGGUCCGUUGUGAAAACUCGAGGCUCAACCUCGAGACGUCGAUGGAAACCAUCUAGCUAGAGUCCGGAAGAGGAGAGUGGAAUUCCUGGUGUAGCAGUGAAAUGCGCAGAUAUCAGGAAGAACACCCGUGGCGAAGGCGGCUCUCUGGUACGUGACUGACGCUGAGACGCGAAAGCGUGGGGAGCGAACAGG